GACGAACGCUGGCGGCGUGCUUAACACAUGCAAGUCGAACGGAAAGGCCCUGCUUUUGUGGGGUGCUCGAGUGGCGAACGGGUGAGUAACACGUGAGUAACCUGCCCUUGACUUUGGGAUAACUUCAGGAAACUGGGGCUAAUACCGGAUAGGAGCUCCUGCUGCAUGGUGGGGGUUGGAAAGUUUCGGCGGUUGGGGAUGGACUCGCGGCUUAUCAGCUUGUUGGUGGGGUAGUGGCUUACCAAGGCUUUGACGGGUAGCCGGCCUGAGAGGGUGACCGGCCACAUUGAGACUGAGAUACGGCCCAGACUCCUACGGGAGGCAGCAGUGGGGAAUAUUGCACAAUGGGCGGAAGCCUGAUGCAGCAACGCCGCGUGCGGGAUGACGGCCUUCGGGUUGUAAACCGCUUUCGCCUGUGACGAAGCGUGAGUGACGGUAAUGGGUAAAGAAGCACCGGCUAACUACAUG
rnacentral:rRNA from 1 species